rnacentral:tRNA from 1 species
GGGCGCUUAGCUCAGUUGGCAGAGCACUUGGCUUUUAACCAAGGUGUCAUAGGUUCGAAUCCUAUAGCGCCUA